GCAAUAGUUCCACAGAGCAGAUCGUGGUGCAGGCUGGCCAGAUUCAGCAGCAGCAGGGUGGUGUCACUGCUGUCCAGCUGCAGACUGAGGCCCAGGUGGCAUCCGCCUCAGGCCAGCAAGUCCAGACCCUCCAAGAGGAGACAAGCGAGGGCCAAGCUAGAGGCAGAAGGGAAGAUCCCAAAGGAAAGAAGGAAAUACCUCCAUGAGUCUCGGCACCGACACGCCAUGGCACGGAAGCGUGGGGAAGGGGGCCGCUUCUUCUCUCCAAAAGAAAAGGACAGUCCUCACAUGCAGGAUCCAAACCAAGCUGAUGAAGAAGCCAUGACACAGAUCAUCCGAGUUUCCUAACCACAGGAGGGUGGCAGAGCGGAUGAGUCACAGUCCUCUCCACUGUUCCUGGAAAUGGACUGACUUCCAGUUGGGCACUGACAGUCUCACUCUGCCCUUUCUCAGGACAGAAACUACUUAGCUCAGUAUUACAGCUGCAGUGAUGGCUGACAAACUGAAGAGGCAAGCUUUUGUCUCUCCCUUUCAUUGAGGACCUGUUCAGACUGUUGGUGACAUUGACCUUUUACAAAUUUGGAUGAUUAAAGAGGUAUUUGCCAGCCCAGCAUUAC
rnacentral:lncRNA from 1 species